rnacentral:rRNA from 1 species
AGCGUACACGGUGGAUGCCCUGGCAGUCAGAGGCGAUGAAGGACGUGCUAAUCUGCGAAAAGCGCCGGCGAGGUGAUAUGAACCUUUGACCCGGCGAUGUCCGAAUGGGGAAACCCAGUGUGUUCCGACACACUAUCGUUAACUGAAUACAUAGGUUAACGAGGCGAACCGGGGGAACUGAAACAUCUAAGUACCCCGAGGAAAAGAAAUCAACCGAGAUUCCCCCAGUAGCGGCGAGCGAACGGGGAGCAGCCCAGAGUCUGAAUCAGCUUGUGUGUUAGUGGAAGCGUCUGGAAAGUCGCACGGUACAGGGUGACAGUCCCGUACACGAAAGCACACAGGUUGUGAACUCGAAGAGUAGGGCGGGACACGUGGUAUCCUGUCUGAAUAUGGGGGGACCAUCCUCCAAGGCUAAAUACUCCUGACUGACCGAUAGUGAACCAGUACCGUGAGGGAAAGGCGAAAAGAACCCCGGCGAGGGGAGUGAAAAAGAACCUGAAACCGUGUACGUACAAGCAGUGGGAGCACCUUCGGGUGUGACUGCGUACCUUUUGUAUAAUGGGUCAGCGACUUAUAUUCUGUAGCAAGGUUAACCGUAUAGGGGAGCCGAAGGGAAACCGAGUCUUAACUGGGCGUUAAGUUGCAGGGUAUAGACCCGAAACCCGGUGAUCUAGCCAUGGGCAGGUUGAAGGUUGGGUAACACUAACUGGAGGACCGAACCGACUAAUGUUGAAAAAUUAGCGGAUGACUUGUGGCUGGGGGUGAAAGGCCAAUCAAACCGGGAGAUAGCUGGUUCUCCCCGAAAGCUAUUUAGGUAGCGCCUCGUGAACUCAUCUUCGGGGGUAGAGCACUGUUUCGGCUAGGGGGUCAUCCCGACUUACCAACCCGAUGCAAACUACGAAUACCGAAGAAUGUUAUCACGGGAGACACACGGCGGGUGCUAACGUCCGUCGUGAAGAGGGAAACAACCCAGACCGCCAGCUAAGGUCCCAAAGUCAUGGUUAAGUGGGAAACGAUGUGGGAAGGCACAGACAGCCAGGAUGUUGGCUUAGAAGCAGCCAUCAUUUAAAGAAAGCGUAAUAGCUCACUGGUCGAGUCGGCCUGCGCGGAAGAUGUAACGGGGCUAAACCAUGCACCGAAGCUGCGGCAGCGACACUAUGUGUUGUUGGGUAGGGGAGCGUUCUGUAAGCCGUUGAAGGUGUGCUGUGAGGCAUGCUGGAGGUAUCAGAAGUGCGAAUGCUGACAUAAGUAACGAUAAAGCGGGUGAAAAGCCCGCUCGCCGGAAGACCAAGGGUUCCUGUCCAACGUUAAUCGGGGCAGGGUGAGUCGACCCCUAAGGCGAGGCCGAAAGGCGUAGUCGAUGGGAAACAGGUUAAUAUUCCUGUACUUGGUGUUACUGCGAAGGGGGGACGGAGAAGGCUAUGUUAGCCGGGCGACGGUUGUCCCGGUUUAAGCAUGUAGGCGGAGGUUCCAGGUAAAUCCGGUACCUUAUUAACGCUGAGGUGUGAUGACGAGGCACUACGGUGCUGAAGUAACAAAUGCCCUGCUUCCAGGAAAAGCCUCUAAGCAUCAGGUAACAUCAAAUCGUACCCCAAACCGACACAGGUGGUCAGGUAGAGAAUACCAAGGCGCUUGAGAGAACUCGGGUGAAGGAACUAGGCAAAAUGGUGCCGUAACUUCGGGAGAAGGCACGCUGAUAUGUAGGUGAAGCCCCUGCGGGUGGAGCUGAAAUCAGUCGAAGAUACCAGCUGGCUGCAACUGUUUAUUAAAAACACAGCACUGUGCAAACACGAAAGUGGACGUAUACGGUGUGACGCCUGCCCGGUGCCGGAAGGUUAAUUGAUGGGGUUAGCGGUAACGCGAAGCUCUUGAUCGAAGCCCCGGUAAACGGCGGCCGUAACUAUAACGGUCCUAAGGUAGCGAAAUUCCUUGUCGGGUAAGUUCCGACCUGCACGAAUGGCGUAAUGAUGGCCAGGCUGUCUCCACCCGAGACUCAGUGAAAUUGAACUCGCUGUGAAGAUGCAGUGUACCCGCGGCAAGACGGAAAGACCCCGUGAACCUUUACUAUAGCUUGACACUGAACACUGGUCCUUGAUGUGUAGGAUAGGUGGGAGGCUUUGAAGUGUGGACGCCAGUCUGCAUGGAGCCGUCCUUGAAAUACCACCCUUUAAUGGCUGGUGUUCUAACGUAGACCCGUGAUCCGGGUUGCGGACAGUGUCUGGUGGGUAGUUUGACUGGGGCGGUCUCCUCCCAAAGAGUAACGGAGGAGCACGAAGGUUAGCUAAUCCUGGUCGGACAUCAGGAGGUUAGUGCAAUGGCAUAAGCUAGCUUGACUGCGAGAGUGACGGCUCGAGCAGGUGCGAAAGCAGGUCAUAGUGAUCCGGUGGUUCUGAAUGGAAGGGCCAUCGCUCAACGGAUAAAAGGUACUCCGGGGAUAACAGGCUGAUACCGCCCAAGAGUUCAUAUCGACGGCGGUGUUUGGCACCUCGAUGUCGGCUCAUCACAUCCUGGGGCUGAAGUAGGUCCCAAGGGUAUGGCUGUUCGCCAUUUAAAGUGGUACGCGAGCUGGGUUUAGAACGUCGUGAGACAGUUCGGUCCCUAUCUGCCGUGGGCGCUGGAGAAUUGAGGGGGGCUGCUCCUAGUACGAGAGGACCGGAGUGGACGCAUCACUGGUGUUCGGGUUGUCAUGCCAAUGGCACUGCCCGGUAGCUAAAUGCGGAAAAGAUAAGUGCUGAAAGCAUCUAAGCACGAAACUUGCCCCGAGAUGAGUUCU